rnacentral:rRNA from 1 species
GUGCCAGCCGCCGCGGUAAUACCGGCAGCCCGAGUGAUGGCCGAUCUUAUUGGGCCUAAAGCGUCCGUAGCUGGCCGCGCAAGUUCGUCGGGAAAUCCACUCGCUUAACGAGUGGGCGUCCGGCGAAAACUGUGCGGCUUGGGACCGGAAGGCUCGAAGGGUACGGCCGGGGUAGGAGUGAAAUCCUGUAAUCCCGUCCGGACCACCGAUGGCGAAAGCACUUCGAGAAAACGGAUCCGACAGUGAGGGACGAAAGCUAAGAUCGCGAACCGGAUUAGAUACCCCGGUAGUCC